rnacentral:rRNA from 1 species
UUGACCUCAAAUCAGGUAGGACUACCCGCUGAACUUAAGCAUAUCAAUAAGCGGAGGAAAAGAAACUAACAAGGAUUCCCCUAGUAACUGCGAGUGAAGCGGGAAAAGCUCAAAUUUGAAAUCUGGUGGUCCUUGACCGUCCGAGUUGUAAUCUAGAGAAGUGCUACCUGUGCUGGACCGUGUAAAAGUCUCCUGGAAUGGAGCAUCACAGAGGGUGAGAAUCCCGUCUUUGACACGGACUGCCUGUACGUUAUGGUGCGCUCUCGAAGAGUCGAGUUGUUUGGGAAUGCAGCUCAAAAUGGGUGGUAAAUGCCAUCUAAAGCUAAAUAUUGGCGAGAGACCGAUAGCGAAC